CGGAGCCCGCCGCCCUGGGGGCUGCAGUGAUGGGGCCGGGCUGAGGCACCUGCCGGCGGGGUAGCAGGGCAGUCGAGCACGGAGGGAGGGGCGGGCCUCCAGGGGACUUCAGCGGGAGCCGGGCCUGGGGCGGUGCCGCACUUGCACACGGAGUGUGGGGGGCCAGGCCUGGGACCAGGAGCUGGGGCCGGGCUUCGGCGCAGAGGCAGGAAGAGGAAGCGGCACCCGCUUCGGGGACCCAGCCGGCGGCCAGGCCACCGCGCCCACCCGGCCGAUGGCACCGUGUUCCUGCGCCUCGGGAGGGAGGAGGCUCUGCGCGGGACUGCAGGUUCUGCCCCGCAUCGGAGUGAUCGCUGAGCCUGACGCUCUCGAAGGCUGGGCCUGGGGCCCGCAAUCUACUCCGGAGGCUUUCCCACUGGGCAGGGUCGCUAGCAGGGUGAGAGAAAGCCCCGGGCCAUCCCCGAGUGCCGGGGCCACAGGAAGAAUUUGUGGCGACAUCAUCCCUUCCCCAGGUGCCACCCGGGUGCAGUGAGGACCUGGAGCCCCUGCCCCAGGCUGUGAGGAGACUUGACCAGAGCUGCCUGAAUGCUCCACGGAGCAGGUGGGAGCCCACCCUCCCAGGUGCAGGACCCGGGAGUCUCUGCACUCUGCACCCUCGGGGGCCCAGGGGACCCCCUUGCCCUUGCAGGCUUGUAUCUGCUCCUGCUGCCUAGCCUCUCCCCACUGCCGGCGCCUGCCUGGAUCUCGGAGCAGGGUUGGGGCCGUGCCCCAGCACUGACAGCCCGGCCAGGUGUGUGCACACACGGGGCAGUGCUGAUAUGCCAGUCACCUGCCACCUCGGCCGCCUCCGGACCUUGGGCACCAAAAAGCACUUUUUAAAAAUAUACUUUAAGUUAUGGGAUACAUGUGCAGAACGUGCAGGUUUGUUACAUAGGUAUACACGUGCCAUGGUGGUUUGCUGCACCCAUCAACCCGUCAUCUACAUCAGGUAUUUCUCCUAAUGUUAUCCCUCCUCUAGCCCACCAUCCCCUGACAGGCCCCGGUGUGUGAUGUUCCCUUCCCUGUGUCCAUGUGUUCUCAAUGUUCAACUCCCGCUUAUGACUGAGAACAUGCAGUGUUUGGUUUUCUGUUCCUAUGUUAGUUUGCUGAGAAUGAUGGUUUCCAGCUUCAUCCAUGUCCCCGCAAAGGAUAUGAACCCAUCCUUUUUUAUGGCUGCAUAGUAUUCCAUGGGAUAUAUGUGCCACAUUUUCUUUAUCCAGUCUAUCAUUGAUGGGCAUUUGGGUUGGUUCCAAGUCUUUGCUAUUGUGAAUAGUGCUGCAAUAAACAUACACGUGCAUGUGUCUUUAUAGUAGAAUGAUUUAUAAUCCUUUGGGUAUAUACCCAGUAAUGGAAUUGUUAGGUCAAAUGGUAUUUCUGAUUCUAGAUCCUUGAGGAAUUGCCACACUGUCUUCCACAAUGGUUGAACUAAUUUACACUCCCACCAACAGUGUACAAACUUACCUAUUUC
rnacentral:lncRNA from 10 species